GUCUCCAGAGGAGAGAGGAUCUCUACCUGUGGCUUCAUAUUCAUCAACUGCACCUUACCUAAUGGGACACACAUAUCAGAGUGGGUGUUUGAAGCCAAUAACACACUGUGUAUUAACCCAACUACUGCCCCUCCCACUAGUUUGGGUAAG